UUUAUGGAGAGUUUGAUCCUGGCUCAGGAUGAACGCUGGCGGCGUGCCUAAUACAUGCAAGUCGAGCGAACGGACGAGAAGCUUGCUUCUCUGAUGUUAGCGGCGGACGGGUGAGUAACACGUGGAUAACCUACCUAUAAGACUGGGAUAACUUCGGGAAACCGGAGCUAAUACCGGAUAAUAUUUUGAACCGCAUGGUUCAAAAGUGAAAGACGGUCUUGCUGUCACUUAUAGAUGGAUCCGCGCUGCAUUAGCUAGUUGGUAAGGUAACGGCUUACCAAGGCAACGAUGCAUAGCCGACCUGAGAGGGUGAUCGGCCACACUGGAACUGAGACACGGUCCAGACUCCUA
rnacentral:rRNA from 1 species